rnacentral:piRNA from 1 species
UGACAUUGAUGCCAAAGUGGACACGGGAGU